rnacentral:rRNA from 1 species
UGGCGGCGUGCUAUACAUGCAAGUCGAGCGGACCGACGGGAGCUUGCUCCCUUAGGUCAGCGGCGGACGGGUGAGUAACACGUGGGUAACCUGCCUGUAAGACUGGGAUAACUCCGGGAAACCGGGGCUAAUACCGGAUGCUUGAUUGAACCGCAUGGUUCAAUCAUAAAAGGUGGCUUUUAGCUACCACUUGCAGAUGGACCCGCGGCGCAUUAGCUAGUUGGUGAGGUAACGGCUCACCAAGGCGACGAUGCGUAGCCGACCUGAGAGGGUGAUCGGCCACACUGGGACUGAGACACGGCCCAGACUCCUACGGGAGGCAGCAGUAGGGAAUCUUCCGCAAUGGACGAAAGUCUGACGGAGCAACGCCGCGUGAGUGAUGAAGGUUUUCGGAUCGUAAAACUCUGUUGUUAGGGAAGAACAAGUACCGUUCGAAUAGGGCGGCACCUUGACGGUACCUAACCAGAAAGCCACGGCUAACUACGUGCCAGCAGCCGCGGUAAUACGUAGGUGGCAAGCGUUGUCCGGAAUUAUUGGGCGUAAAGCGCGCGCAGGCGGUUUCUUAAGUCUGAUGUGAAAGCCCCCGGCUCAACCGGGGAGGGUCAUUGGAAACUGGGGAACUUGAGUGCAGAAGAGGAGAGUGGAAUUCCACGUGUAGCGGUGAAAUGCGUAGAGAUGUGGAGGAACACCAGUGGCGAAGGCGACUCUCUGGUCUGUAACUGACGCUGAGGCGCGAAAGCGUGGGGAGCGAACAGGAUUAGAUACCCUGGUAGUCCACGCCGUAAACGAUGAGUGCUA